rnacentral:rRNA from 1 species
AGAGUUUGAUCCUGGCUCAGGACGAACGCUGGCGGCGUGCCUAAUACAUGCAAGUCGAACGAGAGCGACCGGUGCUUGCACUGGUCAAUCUAGUGGCGAACGGGUGAGUAACACGUGGGUAACCUGCCCAUCAGAGGGGGAUAACAUUCGGAAACGGAUGCUAAAACCGCAUAGGUCCUUUAACCGCAUGGUUGAAGGAGGAAAAGAGGCGCAAGCUUCUGCUGAUGGAUGGACCCGCGGUGCAUUAGCUAGUUGGUGAGGUAACGGCUCACCAAGGCCGUGAUGCAUAGCCGACCUGAGAGGGUGAUCGGCCACAUUGGGACUGAGACACGGCCCAAACUCCUACGGGAGGCAGCAGUAGGGAAUCUUCCGCAAUGGACGCAAGUCUGACGGAGCAACGCCGCGUGAGUGAAGAAGGUUUUCGGAUCGUAAAACUCUGUUGUUAGAGAAGAACAAGUGCUAGAGUAACUGUUAGCGCCUUGACGGUAUCUAACCAGAAAGCCACGGCUAACUACGUGCCAGCAGCCGCGGUAAUACGUAGGUGGCAAGCGUUGUCCGGAUUUAUUGGGCGUAAAGCGAGCGCAGGCGGUUCCUUAAGUCUGAUGUGAAAGCCCCCGGCUCAACCGGGGAGGGUCAUUGGAAACUGGGGAACUUGAGUGCAGAAGAGGAGAGUGGAAUUCCAUGUGUAGCGGUGAAAUGCGUAGAUAUAUGGAGGAACACCAGUGGCGAAGGCGACUCUCUGGUCUGUAACUGACGCUGAGGCUCGAAAGCGUGGGUAGCAAACAGGAUUAGAUACCCUGGUAGUCCACGCCGUAAACGAUGAGUGCUAAGUGUUGGUCUCAUAAGAGAUCAGUGCUGCAGCUAACGCAUUAAGCACUCCGCCUGGGGAGUACGACCGCAAGGUUGAAACUCAAAGGAAUUGACGGGGACCCGCACAAGCGGUGGAGCAUGUGGUUUAA